AACGCGAAGAACCUUACCAAGGUUUGACAUGGCCGGAAAAGCAUCAGAGAUGGUGUGUCCUUCGGGGUCGGUCACAGGUGGUGCAUGGCUGUCGUCAGCUCGUGUCGUGAGAUGUUGGGUUAAGUCCCGCAACGAGCGCAACCCUCGUCCUAUGUUGCCAGCGGGUCAUGCCGGGGACUCAUGGGAGACUGCCGGGGUCAACUCGGAGGAAGGUGGGGAUGACGUCAAGUCAUCAUGCCCCUUAUGUCUUGGGCUGCAAACAUGCUACAAUGGCCGGUACAAAGGGCUGCGAACUCGCGAGGGUAAGCGAAUCCCAUAAAGCCGGUCUCAGUUCGGAUCGGGGUCUGCAACUCGGCCCCGUGAAGCUGGAGUCGCUAGUAAUCGCGGAUCAGCAACGCCGCGGUGAAUACGUUCCCGGGCCUUGUA
rnacentral:rRNA from 1 species